rnacentral:rRNA from 1 species
AACGAACGCUGGCGGCGUGGAUUAGGCAUGCAAGUCGAACGCGAAAGAGGGGGUAACUCCUCGAGUAGAGUGGCGAACGGGUGAGUAACGCGUGAAGAACCUGCCUUCAACAGGGGGAUAACACUCCCAACGGGUGCUAAAACCGCAUGAGACCACGGGGCUGCAUGGCCCAGGGGUCAAAGGUGGCCUCUACUUGUAAGCUACCGGUUGAAGAUGGCUUCGCGUCCCAUUAGCUAGUUGGCGGNGUAACGGACCACCAAGGCGACGAUGGGUAGCUGGUCUGAGAGGAUGGUCAGCCACACUGGGACUGAGAUACGGCCCAGACUCCUACGGGAGGCAGCAGUCGAGAGGCUUUGGCAAUGGGGAAACCCUGACCAAGCGACGCCGCGUGGAGGAUGAAGGCCC